ACGGGUGAGUAACACGUGGGCAACCUGCCCUGUAGAUUGGGAUAACUCCGGGAAACCGGGGCUAAUACCGAAUAAUCCAUUCCCUCACAUGUGGGAAUGUUAAAAGACGGUUUCGGCUGUCACUACAGGAUGGGCCCGCGGCGCAUUAGCUAGUUGGUGAGGUAACGGCUCACCAAGGCGACGAUGCGUAGCCGACCUGAGAGGGUGAUCGGCCACACUGGGACUGAGACACGGCCCAGACUCCUACGGGAGGCAGCAGUAGGGAAUCUUCCACAAUGGACGAAAGUCUGAUGGAGCAACGCCGCGUGAGUGAAGAAGGUUUUCGGAUCGUAAAACUCUGUUGUGAGGGAAGAACAAGUACGAGAGUAACUGCUCGUACCUUGACGGUACCUCAUUAGAAAGCCACGGCUAACUACGUGCCAGCAGCCGCGGUAAUACGUAGGUGGCAAGCGUUGUCCGGAAUUAUUGGGCGUAAAGCGCGCGCAGGCGGUCCUUUAAGUCUGAUGUGAAAGCCCACGGC
rnacentral:rRNA from 1 species